rnacentral:rRNA from 1 species
CCUACGGGAGGCAGCAGUGGGGAAUAUUGCGCAAUGGGCGAAAGCCUGACGCAGCGACGCCGCGUGAGGGAUGAAGGUCUUCGGAUCGUAAACCUCUGUCAGCAGGGAAGAACGGUCACUGUGCUAAUCAGCAGUGAAUUGACGGUACCUGCAAAGGAAGCACCGGCUAACUCCGUGCCAGCAGCCGCGGUAAUACGGAGGGUGCGAGCGUUAAUCGGAAUUACUGGGCGUAAAGCGCUCGUAGGCGGUAUGUCAAGUCAAGGGUGAAAUCCCCGCGCUCAACGGGGGAACUGCCUUGGAAACUGGCAAACUGGAGUGUGUGAGAGGAUAGUGGAAUUCGAGGUGUAGGAGUGAAAUGCGUAGAUAUCUGGAGGAACAUCAGUGGCGAAGGCGACUAUCUGGCACAUAACUGACGCUGAGGAGCGAAAGCGUGGGUAGCAAACAGGAUUAGAUACCCUUGUAGUC